UACGUAGGGUGCGAGCGUUGUCCGGAAUUAUUGGGCGUAAAGGGCUCGUAGGCGGUUUGUCGCGUCGGGAGUGAAAACUCAGGGCUUAACCCUGAGCCUGCUUCCGAUACGGGCAGACUAGAGGUAUGCAGGGGAGAACGGAAUUCCUGGUGUAGCGGUGAAAUGCGCAGAUAUUAGGAGGAACACCGGUGGCGAAAGGCGGUUCUCUGGGCAUUACCUGACGCUGAGGAGCGAAAGUGUGGGGAGCGAACAGG
rnacentral:rRNA from 1 species